GAACUGCAAGCACGAUUACCCGUCAAUCUGGUCAGGUCCGGAAGGAAGCAGCCACAGCGGGAACAUCGUGUGCCGGGGUGU
rnacentral:SRP_RNA from 1 species